rnacentral:rRNA from 1 species
UGCNGGNAUUNGGUANCNNGAGGCGGAUNUGNGCGUUGGAACAAUGAUUCCUUCCGCAGUGUACACUUAUCGAAGCCUUUGCAUGCCACGCAAGUGGUAGACCCAAGCGACUUGAGAAAACAAUUUGGCGUCGUUAUGCAAGUCAGCGCUCCGCUGGCGACACUUUCGAAUUGACGGGGACACCCUAAAGCCGGUCGCACCAACCUUGUCCGGGGAAACCUGGCGGGGGGCCUGUGGUAAUGACACAGGGGAUGGUAACAGACGACCUGGAUAGUUCUUGCACCCGCAGAGAGCAUGGGCAAUCCGCAGCGAAGCCCCUACGUCCCUCCCCCGGUCCCCCGGGGGAGAAGGAUACGGGGAACGUUCACAGACUAAGUGGAAGUGGGUGGGAUCGGACGAUCCUGCUUAAGAUAUAGUCGGGCCCCCGGGGAAACCCGGGGGGGCGAGUACACUGCUAUGACCGCCCGCAAUCACCGUUCCGUAGGUGAACCUGCGGAAGGAUCAUUACCGAGUGCGGGUCCUCGUGGCCCAACCUCCCACCCGUGUUGACCGUUACCUGUUGCUUCGGCGGGCCCGCCGUUACCCCGGCCGCCGGGGGGUCCUCCUGCCCCCGGGCCCGCUCCCCGCCGAAGACCCCUCGAACGCUGCCUGAAGGUUGCCCGUCUUGAGUAUGAUUAUCAAAUCAUUAAAAACUUUCNACAACGGAUCUCUUGGUUCCGGCAUCGAUGAAAGAAACNCANCGAAAUGCGAUAAGUNAUGUGAAUUGCANAAUUNCGUGAAUCNUCNAAUCUUUGAAACCACAUUGCGCCCCCUGGCAUUCCGGGGGGGCAUGCCUUUCCCANCGUCAUUUGCUACCCNCCACCCCGGCUUGUGUGUUNGGCCCCCNUCCCCCCCGNNGGACUNGCCCCNAAAGNCANCGCCGCANCCGCGUCCCGUCCCCCAACNUAUUGGGGCUUUGNCCCCNCCUCUUUNNGGCCCGCCGGGUUCUGG